rnacentral:rRNA from 1 species
AAGCUUGAGUGUCGGAGAGGUUACUAGAAUUGUUGGUGUAGUGGUGAAAUACCUAGAUAUCAACAGGAAUACCGGAGGCGAAGGCGGGUAACUGGCCGAACACUGACACUGAGAUCCGAAAGCGUGGGGAUCAAACAGGAUUAGAUACCCUGGUAGUCCACGCCGUAAACGAUGGAUACUUGUUGUUGGAGGUAUUGACCCCUUCAGUGACGAAGCUAACGCGUUAAGUAUCCCGCCUGGGGAGUACAGGUCGCAAGAUUAAAACUCAAAGAAAUUG